UUUAGUAAAAUACAUUGAUCUUAAUAUUAUUAUAUAUAGAGGUUUUACUAUACUUGUUGCCUUAAUUCUCUCUUUUUUACCAAUCCGGAUUCCACAGUUUUAAUGGUAUCAUCUCGAUACAUAAAGGUAUUCCAGAUUAUUGAUUCGCGUUGAAAGACUUUGUGUAGAUCUUGGAUCAUCGAUCUUGUGUAGUAUUACACGCUGAAUUCCGAUUGAUGACAGUUGGAAAGUGGCGACUCCUUUAGAGUAGAAAGCAACAUGAUCUUAAACACCGUGAUGGGUAUAAAGUGGCUUGUGAUGAUAUACCAAAUCUUAUUUCAUCAUUAUAAAACUCAAAGUUUGAUAUACCUAGAUCCUAGAUUUGGAAUUGAAAGUUAUUUCCCGAGUUGAGGAAAGUGAUGUCGCAAUCAACGAUUCGAUGGCGGUUAAGGAGCAUGAUUUCAAUCGUGAAAUUAGGGAAGUCGCCUAGAUCUACUCCAAGAUCUAAGCCAGAUUCUGGUCGGAAAGAGACUUUCACGGAUGGAGAGAAAAAAGCAAUGAAACAAUGGAAGAUUUGCAUCAAAAAAUAGUUUUGAGUAUCAUUUAUUCGCCCAAAACUGUGCAAAAAGAAUAAAGAUUGAAAAAACUAAGUGGAAAGGAAAGCUGACCGACACCGGCCGGGAAUGAGAGUUUAACGGAGAGGGUGUGACUGUAGGGAUGCCUUGGAGAGAUCGCCUCAGAGAGAGACAAUUUUUUUUUGUUUUGUUUCAAAAGAAACCGUUUAAAAUUC
rnacentral:lncRNA from 1 species